rnacentral:lncRNA from 1 species
UGUUUUUUCUCUCCUGACGGAAUGCUUGAAAGUAAGUAAAUGGUUUCUACUCUUAAAAAUGGGGGAGAAUUUCACUUCCCCGGCCUUUGCACCAACUAGGGAUGCAUACAACCUUUUAAGUAUGAGUACUAGGAUUUUUAUUCUUGGUUAUGCACCAAGCCUAAUCCUCAGUAAAUGUAUGAGUACCAAGAAAGCGUGGUCCUCAAGAAUAAAUAGGGACCUAAAUUCGCCUCCGCGAGGAUUUGAACCCAGGUGUUGGGUUUGCACAUCCACUCCAACAACCAUUUGAGCU